UUAACUAAAGCUAAAAAAGAAGCAUUUUACUGUUAAUAAAAAAAAUGAUUAACAAUCUAGUUAAA
rnacentral:tRNA from 1 species